rnacentral:lncRNA from 1 species
AGACUAGUUCAAGGAGGGAAGAUGGAGAAAGAAAAGGAGAAAGAAGAGGCUAAAGUUCCAAUGUCAACUUCCAUAGAGAUUCAAAUUGAAGAGGAAGUUGUAAUGCAAUCAUCUAAUGUAGUUGUUCUUGAAAAUUCCAUUAAUGAGCUUAUAGAAGAGGUUGUGAAUGAUGGUGGACAUGGGGCGCACAUGAUUGAUGAGGUGGAGGAGGUGAAUAAGACUGUUUUGGAAGUUGUAGAGGAGAAUGGGUCACAUCCACAUGAUCUUUCUAUGACUAAUAUUUUUAUGUCUAGUUCAUUUGUUCUUGAUGUGCAGGUUGUUGAUGAAAACAUCCAUGAUGAAAGUUUUAUACUAUUUCCACCUAUUCAAAAGGAGGUCUUUGAAGAUACAUGGGUGCCUAAAGCUUUCCUUCUUAACAUAAAUAUCAGCAAGAUUCGAGGACGAAUCUUUUCUAAAGAAAGAGGGAAUGAUACGAAUCCAAUAGGACAAAUUUCUAACAAUGGUGUGGAGCAAACUUAUAUCAUUCCAAUGGAUCCAAGAGUAGUUCAAAAUCAUAUUCAUAUAAUCCAUAUAUAUUUGGGGCGUGCUUUAAUUCAUAUGGGACAGAUUUGGUGCAACACUUGCAAUCAUAGGCUGAGGGAGCCUAAUCAACCCUAUGGGCUAAAACUACAUAAAGGAAAGCCUAAAGUGAAGAUCAAGUAAGGCUUUUGUGAAGAUUCAACUUUGUUAUGAUGGGCUUGCUAGUUUUAUUAUUUAACACUUGUUUUAUUUUAGCUUUGUUUGGCCUUGUAUUCUGGCCAUAUAUUUAUCUUUUAAGUUUUAGAGUGUUGGGCCAUAUUUUGGGCUUAUGUUUUAAUACUUAUGUGUUAUUUUAGUGUGUGAUUAGGUUUGGGCCUUAGGUGUUUAAGUCAGACCCAAGAAGAGUGUCUUAGGGUUUUAUUUGUUUUUCUCCUUACUAUAUAAGGAUAAGAAACAAUUGUAAGAGGCAGCUUUUAAUCAAACUUUUCAGAAUUUCUUUCAUGCCUUUGGCGUGUAUUGCUUUGAGUGAGAGUGAGGAUUUGCUUUCAUCAAUUGCACCAGGAAUCUUGGCUAACUUAUCAACUAUUCGUUGUGGCGUUUGUCAGAUUCUCAUCUAAAUCCUUCGAUCAUUGGUGUUUCAGCUUCUCUAAGUUUGGGGUGCCAUAGGAGGUGGGUUUAUAAGAUCUUUGGAUUACGUAUCUACUUGUGCGUGUGAGUUUGAGGCUUGUGCCAUAGGGUUCCGCGUCAUCAAGCCCAAGAAAAGUGUCUUAGGGUUUUAUUUGUUUUUCUCCUUACUAUAUAAGGAUAAGAAACAAUUGUUAGAGGGAGCUUUUAAUCAAAAUUUCAGAAUUCUUUUCAUGCCUUUGGCGUGUAUUGCUUUGAGUGAGAGUGAGGAUUUGCUUUCAUCAAUUGCACCAGGGAUCUUGGCUAACUUAUCAACUAUUCGUUGUGGCGUUUGUCAGAUUCUCAUCUAAAUCCUUCGAUCAUUGGUGUUUCAGCUUCUCUAAGUUUGGGGUGCCAUAGGAGGUGGGUUUAUUUGUUCUUGAUGUGCAGGUUGUUGAUGAAAACAUUUAUGACGAAAGUUUUAUCC